rnacentral:rRNA from 1 species
UACGUAGGCAGCGAGCGUUGUUCGGAUUUACUGGGCGUAAAGCGUGCGCAGGCGGUUGUGCAAGACAGAUGUGAAAUCCCCGGGCUUAACCUGGGAACUGCAUUUGUGACUGCACGGCUAGAGUGCGGCAGAGGGGGAUGGAAUUCCGCGUGUAGCAGUGAAAUGCGUAGAUAUGCGGAGGAACACCGAUGGCGAAGGCAAUCCCCUGGGCCUGCACUGACGCUCAUGCACGAAAGCGUGGGGAGCAAACAGG